rnacentral:rRNA from 1 species
CGGAGCUUGCUCCACCGAAAGAAAAAGAGUGGCGAACGGGUGAGUAACACGUGGGUAACCUGCCCAUCAGAAGGGGAUAACACUUGGAAACAGGUGCUAAUACCGUAUAACACUAUUUUCCGCAUGGAAGAAAGUUGAAAGGCGCUUUUGCGUCACUGAUGGAUGGACCCGCGGUGCAUUAGCUAGUUGGUGAGGUAACGGCUCACCAAGGCAACGAUGCAUAGCCGACCUGAGAGGGUGAUCGGCCACACUGGGACUGAGACACGGCCCAGACUCCUACGGGAGGCAGCAGUAGGGAAUCUUCGGCAAUGGACGAAAGUCUGACCGAGCAACGCCGCGUGAGUGAAGAAGGUUUUCGGAUCGUAAAACUCUGUUGUUAGAGAAGAACAAGGAUGAGAGUAAAACGUUCAUCCCUUGACGGUAUCUAACCAGAAAGCCACGGCUAACUACGUGCCAGCAGCCGCGGUAAUACGUAGGUGGCAAGCGUUGUCCGGAUUUAUUGGGCGUAAAGCGAGCGCAGGCGGUUUCUUAAGUCUGAUGUGAAAGCCCCCGGCUCAACCGGGGAGGGUCAUUGGAAACUGGGAGACUUGAGUGCAGAAGAGGAGAGUGGAAUUCCAUGUGUAGCGGUGAAAUGCGUAGAUAUAUGGAGGAACACCAGUGGCGAAGGCGGCUCUCUGGUCUGUAACUGACGCUGAGGCUCGAAAGCGUGGGGAGCGAACAGGAUUAGAUACCCUGGUAGUCCACGCCGUAAACGAUGAGUGCUAAGUGUUGGAGGGUUUCCGCCCUUCAGUGCUGCAGCAAACGCAUUAAGCACUCCGCCUGGGGAGUACGACCGCAAGGUUGAAACUCAAAGGAAUUGACGGGGGCCCGCACAAGCGGUGGAGCAUGUGGUUUAAUUCGAAGCAACGCGAAGAACCUUACCAGGUCUUGACAUCCUUUGACCCCUCUAGAGAUAGAGCUUCCCCUU